UUCACACCUAAUUACAGUUUUUAAAUAAAUCUCUUCUAUUCUAAAACAACAUUGGACAAACAAUAUUAAACUAUAGUUUUUUCCUUCGGCAGCAGAAAUGCCUAAUUUCUGUCCGUAACCAGUAGGUGUUUUGGGAUUUUUUCCCCCAGAAUUUUCUUGUCCUUGAUGCAUAAAAAAGGGCAUAAAAUUGUGCGUUUUAUUUCCAGAACUGCUCCAUAUUUAUAAAAAGUAAAGGUUCUGCCUUAUAUAUAAACUUUCCUAAAAGCGAUUCUUACAUAAUAAUAGCUAUUAUUUACGAAGGUCGAAAAUGUAGCAAAUUGAAUUUAAAUGGCAAACUUUAGGUAAAAACAGGUGAUGUGAAAACAUUUACCAUCACAGUCAGAGUUUGACUAUUUUAGCCUGAAUUUUGCAAUUUAAUUUUGAAUCCACUAAAAUUAAGAAAAAAAACCUCAUCAUUGUGUACUUUAAAUGUCACCAUACGCAUGUAUUGCAAUUUCCUUCCUGGAUUUCUCAUUCUUACCAUCAAAAUAAAACAAGAUUUAUGUUUCUCUAUUUCACCAACUACUCUGAUGCCUCCAUUAACCCUACAAAUACACCUUGCAACAAAAUAUAUCCUUUUACAGAUCUCUGGAUCUACCUCACCUUCAUCAGGGAGCAUUCAGACAUUGAAAUGGAAUUUAACUGAAAUAAUU